UACCUGCACUAAAUCUCACCCUCUGCCCACUUCGCCAUUCUCCUUUCUCAAAUCAGGAAGAGGAGUCAGCGGCUGGAAGGCCCCUGUCGGAGCCGCGGGCAGCCGAGCAUGCUCAGUAGCCGGGCGCUCUGAGCUCCCUGCAAGCUACGGCUGGCGCUCGGCUCGGGGCUCCAGCCGCGGCUGAUCCCGGUUCCCGGAAAGCUCCUCUCCGCCCCACAACGUGCGUCUUUAGGAUCUUUGGUGCAGCCGCGCGGCAGCGGGCUCCCCGGAGUCCGCCAGCCCGGUCCCCGCCUGCUCGGCGCGGGACUCCUGGUCCCCACGCGGCAGUCCCGCUCUUCCAGCGGCGGCUGAAUGAUCCAGCAGAAAUGACAGGCUGGGGCUUAGCCUUGGAGGGCGAGUGAGAGCCGCUUCUCUUCGGAGCCGGAGAGAGGAGGUGUGUCGCGGAAGGAAGUGCCCGGGGAAGAUUCUUGUAGCAGCUCAAAUCGUCGCUUCUGUCUUCACUCCUUGUCGCCCGGUGCUCCCUGCUCUUGACCUGGGAAGGAUGGUUACAGUAGUAACGAAGCUCGUGCACUGCUUUCACCUCGGGUAUCCCAGCUCUCUGCAUUCACAGCACCCUGAGUUCUGGGCUCCCAGCUGACCUGUGGCAAGACAAAAGCUGCCAGUCGGGGAACUCUGAAGUUGAUAGUCUGGCCUCUGACUUUUACCUGUUCACACUCCCUGAGUUCACAGAUCCCCAGCCCAGGCGGCCCUGGGUGGAAUUAACUGCAGAAGCACCCUUUUCAGAAGCUCUCAAUAACCCGGGAUUUUACUGAGAAAACUGUCUCCCAAGGCUUGCCUCUGCUUGUUCUUGGUGGCUGUCAGCUAGAAUGGUGCCUUAGUGAUCAAUCGGAAGAAGAAAAAAACAGGGACGAAGUUGUCCCCAUGUUUGGAUAUUGAGGAGCAGGCAGAUGGUCAUUUUCCUUCCUCUCCUUCACUGCCGCCUCAGCCAAUUAUGACACACGAGGAGGAGUAAAACUCUAUUCCAGUGCAAGUCCUUCUGUUUUCCUUUUAAAGAGGAACAUUAGCCAUGAGCUAACAUCUGCUGCCAAUCUUCCUUCUUUUUGCUGAGGAAGACUUGCCCUGAGCUAACAUCUGUGCAUAUCUUCCUCUGCUUUCUAUGUGGGAUGCCUACCACAGCAUGGCUUGCCAAGUGGUGCCAUGUCCGCGCCCGGAUCCGAACCUGCAAACGCUGGGCCGCCGAAGUGGAACGUGUGCACUUAACCGCUGCACCACCGGCCCAGCCCCUCUUUUUCAUAUUUGAUUAAAAAUAAUAACAGCUACAGCAUAUGAACAGAGAAAAUUGUACAACUGUUUGUGUUUGUUUUGCAAAGUUGCUAUUAAUGCUGUUUCCUGCUGUGCUGUAACUGUUUCUAGGAAGGCAUCUCUUGUGUUUUGAAGUUGGCUACUUUAUGUGAUUAACUGUAUUAAUUUCUUCUUCAUUGAUCAUUUUUCAUCAUAGUUACUUGUUACUUUACUUAUAAGGGAAACCUGGAAAAUCUUAGUUAAGCCAAUUUAAUAAAGUGCCUUAUUUUUAAGGAUGACAAAAAUAAAAGUAGCAGAAUGUAUCUUCUCUGUGUGUUUACGAGUCAUGCGAGCGAUGGAUCAAGUUUCACUGUAGUUCGUUUUUCUGCCUAUCUUAUAAAUGCUAGAGCUUUUGAUUAAGGUUGUAGAAUAAAGAAGCAGCUUGCCUAUAAAGUGACUACAGAUUAUUCUAAAACAAACCAGAAAUGUUGUCCCCUUUGAAGAAAAUUUAUGAGGAGCCGAUGCCUUGGGGAUAUGUUAUUAUAAGCGUCCGUCAAGGAUCAAAGUAGGCUUGAAACACCUCUGCUGGGCUAUCUUUUGGAAUAGGUUUAUGAGCCACGUAAAAAUCUCUCUCAUAGACAGUUCUUAUGUGGUAAUAGAAUGUGUUUUGAUUGUAAAACCAGUUAACUUGCUUUAUAGUCACAUGUGAGCGGUAAGCUGUCCCUUGCAGUUUAAGUAGGACUAAUGGGGAUGUCAUUUGCAGUAAUGUUUCUCUAUUUUUCUCUAAUUAAGGGGCUUUCUGUGUUUUAAUUUCAUAAUAAAAACAUGUGUCUUUGCUUUU
ensembl:lncRNA